GUCUUGGAAAACAUACACUGUUUUCUUAGGCAUCAAUACAGCUACGAUCCAUGAUUGGGAAGUCAUGGGAAAAGUUAAAGGGAUUCAUCUGGGACUUUGGAGAUCUGGAUUAUCACUCUGACUCUCCUUAGUAGGACUCUACGUAUCUAGCCAUAUGUACAAAAAAUCCCUAAAACACGUACCUGACGUUUUAGAUGAAAGGUGAAAUGAGCAGUUUACUCUAUGGACACACGAGGAGAAAAUGGACUAUAGAGACCCUGCAGCAGUCCUGGGAGUGAGUGCAAGCACAGAACCUUGCAAGAAGGAAAAUGGAGGAGGAUCCGUCCGGGGAUGGAUAUCAUGCCACUGUGUUUCCCAACCUUUCUGUUUCCAGCCAGUCUUUUAGAGGAGGUCCUGCCCUGUGUAA
rnacentral:lncRNA from 1 species